rnacentral:rRNA from 1 species
UACUUAAUAAUUCAAUAUUUAUUUUAAUUAAUAUUUUAUUUAUUAUAUACUGAAAUAAUUUAAUUUAAUUUUUGUAUAACCGCAACUGCUGGCACAAAAUUAGUUAUUAAUUUUAAUAUUACUAAAUCUUAAUUUCUUAAAUUUUUAAUUUUAAUUACUACAGUUAUUAUAAUUACUAUUAAAAUAAUCAAAAUUCAAUACUAAAAUUUAUAUGUAAAAUAAAUUUAUAAUAAAUUAUAAAAAACAUAAAAAUUUUAUC